rnacentral:lncRNA from 1 species
GCUUUAUUCCUGAAUCACAUCAUAUAUCGCAUAUUUUAUAAGACAUGUGCACAAUAAAACAUAUUCUAUAAGAAAAAAGUCUACAGUUAAUAUGCUUUGUGUGAUCAACAAUCAUAAUACCACGAAGCCUGUAUGUUGUUUGUACCUUUGAUAACUAGUUUCAUACACAAUCACAUCAUAAAAGCAAUGAUACAUUAAUUGAGAUAACUUUAUAUUAAAUGGGGGUAUAAAAAAAUCAACUAUAUAUGAAUAAAUAUAUAUAGUUAACAUUAAUGUGUCAAACAUUUAAGACAAUUUAAGUUAAGUGAUUUUUAAAAUCCAGACUGGCCAUGGGUACAUUUAACUAGAGGCUCUAAAGAGCCUGUGUCGCUCACCUUGGUCUAUGUGCAUAUUAAACAAAGGACACAAAUGGAUUCAUGACAAAAUUGUAUUUUGGUGAUGGUGAUGUGUUUGAAGUUCUUACUUUACUGAACGUUCUUGCUUCUUACAAUUAUAUCUAUAAUGAACUUUGCCCAUUAGUAACAGAGAAAAAUAUUUGGUAAAAAUUUACAUAAAUUUACCAAAUUAAUAAAAAUGGUUAAAAAUUGACUAUAAAGGGCAAUUACUCCUUAAGGGGUCAAUUGACCAUUUAGG